GGGGCCCGCUGUGGGAGAGAGUUAAUAUUAAUACACUCUUCUUCCAGUUUGCAAAGCGGCAGGCCUUCCUUGAGCCUGUUAUUCAGGAGAAUAACCCUGAGUAUGUUCUGAUCUCCAUUGCACACGGAGAAGUGAGACCCAGAAUGGCUGAGCGAUUUGCAGACACACACUUGACUUUGAAAGAAUGGGAAAGUCCGGAUCAUCAUAAAUGAAGCAGCAAAAUACCCCAGUGAUCUGAUAGAAAUUACAUGUGAGUUUCUUAUUAUACCGAAGAUACCAAAGGAAUCAAGACUCAAAUCUGAAGAGUGCUACAGUGAAGAAGAAGAAAAGAAAAGUAGAAUUUCUGAGAAGCAGGAAAGUAGAAAAAGACCUUCAGGAAAACAAUGAGAAGAAAAACUCAAGAUAUUUGCUUUAAUGGAGCAAUGAAGCUUCUAAUUACAACCAAAUACUUAGCUAGAGAUACUGGAAUAUGGGAGUG